rnacentral:rRNA from 1 species
AUUGAACGCUGGCGGCAGGCCUAACACAUGCAAGUCGAGCGGAUGAAGGGAGCUUGCUCCUGGAUUCAGCGGUGGACGGGUGAGUAAUGCCUAGGAAUCUGCCUGGUAGUGGGGGACAACGUUUCGAAAGGAACGCUAAUACCGCAUACGUCCUACGGGAGAAAGCAGGGGACCUUCGGGCCUUGCGCUAUCAGAUGAGCCUAGGUCGGAUUAGCGAGUUGGUGAGGUAAUGGCUCACCAAGGCGACGAUCCGUAACUGGUCUGAGAGGAUGAUCAGUCACACUGGAACCGAGACACGGUCCAGACUCCUACGGGAGGCAGCAGUGGGGAAUAUUGGACAAUGGGCGAAAGCCUGAUCCAGCCAUGCCGCGUGUGUGAAGAAGGUCUUCGGAUUGUAAAGCACUUUAAGUUGGGAGGAAGGGUUGUAGAUUAAUACUCUGCAAUUUUGACGUUACCGACAGAAUAAGCACCGGCUAACUCUGUGCCAGCAGCCGCCGCAGUAA